UGGGGAAUAUUGGACAAUGGGGGCAACCCUGAUCCAGCAAUGCCGCGUGUGUGAAGAAGGCCUGAGGGUUGUAAAGCACUUUCAGUGGGGAGGAGGUUCGACUGGUUAAGAGCUGAUUGAAUGGACGUUACCCACAGAAGAAGCACCGGCUAACUCCGUGCCAGCAGCCGCGGUAAUACGGAGGGUGCAAGCGUUAAUCGGAAUUACUGGGCGUAAAGGGUGCGUAGGUUGUUGUAUAAGUUAUCUGUAAAAUCCCUGGGCUUAACCUGGGCAGGUCAGAUAAGACUGUAUGACUCGAGUAUAGGAGAGGGUAGUGGAAUUUCCGGUGUAGCGGUGAAAUGCGUAGAGAUCGGAAGGAACACCAGUGGCGAAGGCGGCUACCUGGCCUGAUACUGACACUGAGGCACGAAAGCGUGGGGAGCAAACAGG
rnacentral:rRNA from 1 species